AUGGUGCGCAUGAACUUAUUUGGCAGUCUAGGUCAUUUAAGUCCAUCGUUAACAUGAAUAGGUGGUCGGGGAAAGUCGCUGUAGUUACUGGUGCCAGUGCAGGAAUUGGGGCAAGUGUGGCUGAAAAAUUGUUACAGGAAGGAUUGAAUGUUGUUGGUAUAGCUAGGAGAAAAGACCGCAUCUUAGAAUCAGUCAAAAACUCUGGGGAGCAGAAUGGAAAAUUGUAUGCAGUCCAGGCAGAUUUGACAAAACAAGAAGAAAUCAUACAAGUAUUUGAUUGGAUUAAUAAGAAUGUGGGUCCCGUUAGUAUCUUAGUAAACAAUGCUGGUAUAGUAAGAAAAACUAACCUCGUUAAUGGGGACAUUGAAGGGUGGAAAAAAAUACUGGACACGAAUGUUCUAGCCGUAGCGAUUGCCUCAAGAGAAGCUAUCAAAUCCAUGCAAGAAAACAAGAUCGAUGGUCAUAUCAUUAAUAUCAAUAGUAUGGCUACCAAUCAAGUUCCAAAAAUUCCAUAUAAUAACGUUUAUCCACCUUCAAAGUUCGCUGUAACUGCAUUAUCAGAAACAUUGAGAAAUGAGCUUAUCACUAUUGGGAGCAAGAUAAAAGUAUCGAGCAUUAAUCCAGGAUAUACUAGGCCAGACUUAAUUGAAGUGAACGGAAUACCUGAAUUUCAACUAGUGCGACAAUUAUUAGAAAUGGUUCCGUCAUUGAAGGCAGAGGAUAUCGCCAAUGCUGUAGUAUAUGUUUUGGGGACUCCUCCAAUGGUUCAGGUACAGUAGUUUCAAAUAUCAGUAUAAUAUUAAAUUUUAUAUUGUUCAGCUAACGGUAUUCUAAUCUGCUUCAAAUGGUCAAUCAAACAUUCACGUACCAAUCUUUUGAUAAAAUGAUCGAUAAACAUUUAUCAGAAAAUAAUUCAUAUUAGGACAUCACGAAAACUAUGAUUGGGUUAAACCGAUUAUUCUGACUCUUCGGACACUAACCCGGAUCACGUUCAUUGUUGUUCGGAAACUCAUAUAAUAGAGUUAAUCGGGUCGUAGUCAUAUGAUAGGAUCUUCUCUAUCCUGGUAAAACCGGAAAACCGCAUAAUAAUGAUUCAUUUUAUAGAAGCAUCGCACACGGUUAGAUUGGUUUUUAUUAUAUUAUUAAAUAAUUUUCAGCCCCAAAAAGUGAAGAAAAGAAGCGAAAACCAUGCUUUUGAUUAAAUUAAGAAGUAUGUCAAAUAUUCUUUUUAAACCACUUUAAAAACCGAGAAACGAAUGGUUUCUUAAGGGCGGAGCAGUUGCUCCAAUGGUCGUUCCUUCUACGCAUAUAUGAUGAAAAUUCGAAAUCCUGAUCUAAUUCAAUCUAAAAAAAUCACACAUGAUUCGCUUUGAUUUAAUUUGUACUAUCUAAAAACUAUCAUUAACUAAUUUGUACCCUUAGGUAAAAUGUAUGAAACAUUAAGUAACGUGCCUUCUGAAAAAUUAUAAUAAGGUAAUGUGACAAUGGUAGGUCAUUGGGAGAGUGGGCCACCCCGUAGUAAAAUUAUUGGUAUGGUCGUUUUUAUAUGAAUUACCAUUAAAAAAGGUUACUGGGAGUGCCAUCUAUUUGCCGCAAGACUAACUAUGUCCAAAUUUCAGCCUACUCGAAAUUAAUCAGUAUCCGACUGCAGACCGUGUUUUUUUGUCGUUAAGGCCGCUUGACAUGUCGCAAGACAACGUGCAAUGCAAUGCAAGACGCAAUAUUUCUCGAUGAAAAGUAUACGUAGAUGAAGUUCAGCUGAUUGUUUCUCGCAUUUGCAUCAUUAUCUGAUUGGUAUCAUUUUCAUUGUGUACAAGUUGCAAUUCUAGGAAGAAAUGAGUUUCUGAUCUGCUGUUAUUACAAGGAUUUCUUAGUUAUCUUAUGUUUUAUUUUUCUUGGGAGUUUGUCAAAUGUUUCUUUAUCCAUUCCCAAAUGUAUGUAUUUUGUAUGUUUCUCGACUAAUUCUAUAGCUGAAUUUAUGUUUUCUCUUAUUUUAUGUGGCCAUGGCUUGGACCACCAUAGCCUAGAUGCUCUUUUCUGUCCAAUAGACUCAAAAAGCAAGGCAUCAGCCUAUAUACUGACCACAAAAUAAGAAAAUACAAUUUGGGGUUAGGAAAUUGUUUACUUUUUCUUAUGGAAUUUUGAUAAGUGGCAACCAUAAUGUAAUGGGAAGAGACUUGCGUAAUGUUAAGCAGCGUGCAAUAUUCGUCUUUGCAGUAUUUUGAUCUUCCAUAUUACAUUUUAUACAAUUUCUUGCAUAUUAUCUUGUCCCAUGUCAAGCGGCCUUUACAAUUUUUAACACGUGCAGUUUUUUCGAGAUUCUAGUUACAAUUUCGGAGGAGAAACAUAACUUAUGUGUACUUAGGUAAGUAAGAAAAGUAUUUUGAUAAUAUUUUAAAUUUAUUAACUUAGUCAGAAAUUUUGUAGGUUAUAAUGAUGGUAGCCCAUUUAACCCGAACAUUUUUCGAUUUGAGAAUACCCAGGAAAUAUCCAUGGAAAGCUACUCGUGCUGCCAAUGGAAGUAGGUACAACAAAGAAGAGCUGAAAGCUGCAGUUUUGGUUAUACAGCAAGGUCAAAACACGAUAAAGGAAGCGGCUGUACAAUACAUCCCAAGAACAACCCUUAAACAUCAUGUUAGAUGUACAAGGGGGAAAAUAGACUUUAUGGCAGAAAGUUGCAAGGGAGGAGGAGUAGCGACGAUUUCAGAUGAGGAUGAAAAAAUGUUAGUAGAAGGACUUUUGACAAUGGAAAAGUGGGGGUUUGGUUUGGAAGGAUGUUGCAAUCUUUUGUUAAGGUCAAUGAUGUUACAAACAGGUUUAAAGAUGAACGUCCUGGAGAGGACUGGUUUUUGGGAUUUGAUUAGAAACAUAAAAAAGAAUAUGGCUUAUGCAGCAAAACACAACUCAUAUCAGCCUAGAAGUUUGUAGACUUGUGUACGAACAUAAUGUUACUAUAUUGAAGCUUCCUCCCACACAACCGUACUCCAGCCGUAGCUUAGACGUAGCCCUAUUUGGACCUUUCAAAACUACAUAAGAUAAACGGUGAAAUGGUAGGGACAUAAUCCCUCUCAACAAGAGAAACAGAGAGUUUAAGAACAGAGCUACCUUAAAUCGAAGAACGCUUAGAAUCAGGUGCAGGAAAGAAUCGAAAGUCAGUUGAAGAUAUAUGAGUGCAGUGAGAACUACAAAAACGAUACUCAUUCGCCAAAAAGGAAAAGAAUCACAUAUUACGAACGCUGAAAUAAUUAUGACAAAAGAAUAUAUUGAAUGACGUGACAUGAGAAAAAACAAUGAAAAGAUACCGAAAACAGAAAAAAAUAAAGAAACGAGCUAAGGUGUCGCGCGAAUUACAAAACAAAAAAGAACGAACUGAAAAUCCGUCCCUACAAUGAAAAAGAAAGCAAAAAACCUUUACUUGCCAGGCGAUUAUACAAUUGUCAUUUAUAAUAGAAUAAGACAAGGUGACAGUAAAACAUAUGGAGCAAUGUAGGAAAAUAAACGUUUGGCGUUGGCCUCAACGAGAAGAUAUAAUAGAAUACGACCAUAAUGAAAUAAAAAUUAUUAAAAAGCCUGUUUUAAAAAAUAAGAGAAACAGGUUUAGUGUGCCAAAAAUAGACGAUUUUGUGGAAUAUUUAUAAUUAAAUAUAUUUUGUUCUAAACUGCAAUUUUCUACUUGCCCUAUGACUUAUAUUUCAAAUGCCAUAUAAUAAAAACGAGAAGGGAUAGUUUCAUGAAACAAAAACAAAAAAAAAGUGAAAAUUUCGAAGAAGGACCCAGUUUCAUCAUGUUGUUUUUAGUACUUCUUAAUAAUAAAAUAGACGAGUGUGGUCCAGUUGCACCAAAGUCCCAGAUCAAAAAACAAAAAAAA